CCUCCCACCGGCUCCACACCCCCCACCCACCCUGGGAGGGCCCCACGUUGCACACACUGUAAGCAAUGCACUUUUCCAAGGAAGGGGCUGGGGGCGGUGGAGCGGAGGGGCCUGGGGGCUGCUCUGGUCUCUCUACCCACCCAACCCUUGAACUGGGGAGGACCCCCCACCACUUAGCCCGUGGAGGUGGGAGGUGAGAGCGAGUGGUUUAAGUGCCUGAUUUCCACCGCCCGCCCCCCUCCCCUGUGUCCAGCUGGGAUGUGAGUGGCCGUGGGCCUCCCCUCUCCCUCCUUUCCCGCAACCUGGCCCCUUCCAGUCACUGACCCCUCAUUGCUAUGCCCCCAUCAGAGCUAGAGAGAUGGAACCUCCGCCUCCAACAGGCCCAGGGGGCAGAGCUGGGCCUCCUCCCGGCACCCUGCCCUGCUGGGGCACGGGGCCUGGGGUCUCAAGAAGCUGGUGUGCCCCCUCCGCCCCCAUGCCUCCUCUGCCAGUGCCUUACAUCCUGGAGCGACAGCCCCUCCCUGGUGCCUCCCGGCCCAAAGGGGGACCACGGUUUGCACUUUCAUCCCCCACCCCCUGCCGAAGUGGGGCACAGCCAGGAGGCGUUGCCGCUGGGUGGCCAGAAGGAGAGGGGCCAGGCCGCCUGUGGUCCAGAACGGCCGGGGGCUCUGGCUGGGGGCGGGGAGGUUGGCGCCUUGGGGCUCCCUGCUACCAUGUAGGGGGGCCUCCCAUCUGCUAAACAUUUUCCGUUGAGCCGCUCCAAAAACACUAAACCUGGGGGCAUGGGGUGCCCCUUCACCCCCGCUCCCCGGCCCCGUCCACGCCUCCUCCCCGGGAUAGCCGUCUCGGGAAGAGGGGCCUGGGAAGGGUGUUAGGUGUUCUGGGAUCACCAGCCCAAACACAAAGCCGCCUUCCGGCCGUCUGUCUGAAUCCCAGCUGGUCUCCACGCCUGGUGCUGGGGAAUGCCGACCCCCAUCCCCGGCCUAGGCCAAAGCCAUGGCCCUGGGAGGGCCUCCGCCCACUGCUCCCAGCCUGACCCGCCUCUCCCUCUCCUGGUAAACCCCUGGUGCCCCGGGCCUGGCCAGCCUCCUCCCACCUCCCCAGACACCGGACUUUCAUCCCAAACUAGCCCGAGGGGCCUGGCGAACCCACCCGAUCAUAAAGAGAAAGAUACCCCCCACACACAAGACCCUUCCCCUCCAGCUGCACUCCCACUGUCCGGAGGGGUUCGAGAACCCUUGGUCCGUCCGUCUGUCCCCAGCUUCCUAACUUUGCAUGGUGCUUAGUCGAGGAUUUCUGUGACCUGGCUCCUGACUUCAGCUCGAGGCGGCUGAAACUGCAUGGCAAUUGAUACUGGCUCUAUCUCCCUCCCCACGCCACCCCCAACUCCAGCCCUCCACCACCACCCUCCUUCUCUUUAAAAGAAAACAAAAAAAAAGAUACAGAAAAAAAAAAACCCUUAAAAAAAUUCCAUGUUUCCUAAUUUGCACGAAAUUUUCUAUCACAUGAUGUGCCUUGCCUUCCAAGAAUAAGUAUUACCUUUAAACAAUAUCAGCGCACACAGAUAGCUGCAUGCACUGCUCGUGUAGUUUAAAAGGAAAAAAAUGACAAAACAAUGACAUGAAAUAAAAAGUAAAAAUUGAAAAGGGAUGUAUUUCUAUUUGUAAAAAAAAAAUUAAGAAUCAAAAAAAAUCACACGCUUAAAAAUCACAUUGCUUAAAAAAAACAAAGCGAUGCCCGCAAUGAUCACCCCACAGCUUGCCCUGCCCCCAGCCUGCCCUGGGCUCUCGUCUCCCCAUCUCCUGCUGCAUGGGGGGUGCCCCCUGGUGCUCUGCAACCCCCCCACCCCUGGCCCCAUCCUCGGGCUCCAGAGGGGUCAUUUCGCAUCCCCUGCCCACAGCAGCGGACAGACCUCAGGGGUGUGCCCUGGCCCCAGGCAAGGGCCUCUCCCCUCACUGGGCCACAGGCCAGCCCCCCCCAGACGCCGUGCAUGCACCUAUGCGUUCUCACCCC
ensembl:lncRNA